AGCACUUAUUGAGCUAUGGGGGUCCAAAACCUUACUGCUCUCAAGAAAACUCCGAAUACCAGUAAAGUAUAAUAGGCAGACAGACAAGCGGUGCUAAGGUCGCUUGUCGAAAGGGAAACAGCCCAGCCUGGCCGCUAAGGUCCCAAAGCAUUCUGUGAGUGGGAAAAGAUGUGAUACAACUAUGACAACUAGGAGGUUGGCUUGGAAGCAGCCAUUCUAUCAUGAAAGCGUAAUAGCUCACUAGUCGAGUUGUGUUGCGCUGAAAAUGUAUCGGGGCUGAACAGAAUCACCGAAGCGCCAGUUUUUAAGUAGCGAAGCGUUUUGUGCGCCAAUGAACAUACAUCGUAAGAUUUGUGGAAGGUCUCAAAAGUGACUAUGCUGACAUGAGUAACGAAAAAUCAUGUAAAGCCAUGAUCGCCGUAAGUCCAAGGGUUUCUGCUAACUGGGAAUCAGUGCAGAGUUAAGUUCGGUCCCUAAGAGUUUGUAUACACUUAUACGCUCGAUGGA
rnacentral:rRNA from 1 species